UUGAACGCUGGCGGCAUGCUUUACACAUGCAAGUCGAACGGCAGCGGGGGCUUCGGCCUGCCGGCGAGUGGCGAACGGGUGAGUAAUGCAUUGGAACGUGCCCAGUCAUGGGGGAUAACUACGCGAAAGCGUAGCUAAUACCGCAUACGCCCUGAGGGGGAAAGCGGGGGAUCGCAAGACCUCGCGUGAUUGGAGCGGCCGAUAUCGGAUUAGCUAGUUGGUGGGGUAAAGGCCUACCAAGGCGACGAUCCGUAGCGGGUCUGAGAGGAUGAUCCGCCACACUGGGACUGAGACACGGCCCAGACUCCUACGGGAGGCAGCAGUGGGGAAUUUUGGACAAUGGGGGCAACCCUGAUCCAGCCAUGCCGCGUGAGUGAAGAAGGCCUUCGGGUUGUAAAGCUCUUUCGGACGGAGAGAAACGGUCACGGCCAAUACCCGUGGCUAAUGACGGUACCGUCAGAAGAAGCACCGGCUAACUACGU
rnacentral:rRNA from 1 species